UUGGCGGAAAUACGUAAGACCUGCGUUGCGCCACCAUUACGUAUACGUAAGCGAGCGCGCACGCAUUUGGCUAAGGCCUGAACAGUGUAUUUUGUACGGUGGCUUCAGCGCCGCAGCGUGACCGCUGAUCAGCGUAACGUACAGCUGUGCGCCAGCUAAAAGCAGCCAAGUCGGAAUUUAUCUUUAUUCUGUCAUCGUUUUUUCGGGUUUUUGACCCAAUUUCCAAAACAAUAAAAUUAACGAAUUUCAUUAUUUGUCUCUUCUGGAUGAUUUGUUUCUUGCAUGCUGCGCAUCCGAAAAAUUAAAAAAGGAAAGAUGGCUUUUCGCGCACGAAGAUCAAGAGACCAAUCGCGAAAGUUGCUGAGGAAAACAGCAAGCAGGAGUUCUUGGCGAAACUGCUACAAAUUCUGCAAUCAACAGUUCCUCUAUCCGGACACUGGAAAACCAAAGAUGAAGCCUCAGCGCAAUUGCAAGCAUCGGGAUUAAGGAAUCUUCUUAACAAAAACGGUUUCAACACAUUGCUCGAACAAGCAAACAUUUUGAUGCAGCAUUCUCUGGGGGAAAAACACUCCAGCUGGCGAAUGCGCGCGCUGCUGUCGGAAGUCCACCGUAUACGGCGAUACGCAGACUUAUUGAGGACGAAGAUAACAGCCAAAGCGGUGUAAAUUUCCCACUGCGGCUUUUGGUCGAAACCGUAAAUGGAAGAUACAGAGCCACGCCGGAUACGGUACACGCUUUAGCCAGCUGCCAUGUAAUCCACGAUCUAAAUGAAUCUGAACUGGAUAAAUGAUGGAGUAAGUCCCUAAACUUAUAUAGAAGCACAAUGGACACCGCUACCGGAUAGCUUGCGGACACGCAGAUCCAAAAACCAGAAGGAAAAUUCCGUGCGGAUCAAGCAGCCUAAAAAAUUGCGCACACGCGGAAUGUCGUCGACUUCGACCAUGAGCCGCAGCCGGCAUUAUUGCCAAUAUUUUUUUUUGUAAGCUGUUGUCGUACAGCAUUUUUCUGUGUUUUCACGCAUUCAUCGCGUAGACGCAAGGUGGAAUGAUUUUAUGUUUAUUUUUUGUUACGGUUGCUUUUAUUUUGAAGGCACAAAGCCGAAAACUGUGGAUUAAUUUCUGUUACGGAAACGUUUGUUGAGCAGGCUUCAAGCCAGGAAAAUCAUAAUAAAAUAUGGUAAAAUUGA